AAUUUUAAAAAGAUUAGUUAAUUCAUAACAUUUAAAUGUCAUUUAAAAAUUAUUAAUUUAUUAAUAUCUUU
rnacentral:tRNA from 2 species